rnacentral:rRNA from 1 species
UACGAAGGGGGCGAGCGUUGUUCGGAAUUACUGGGCGUAAAGGGCGCGCAGGCGGCGAGUUUUGUCAGGCGUGAAAGCCCCGGGCUCAACCUGGGAACUGCGCUUGAAACGGGCUUGCUGGAGACCGGGAGAGGAGAGUGGAAUUCCCAGUGUAGAGGUGAAAUUCGUAGAUAUUGGGAAGAACACCGGUGGCGAAGGCGGCUCUCUGGACCGGAUCGUGACGCUGAGGCGCGAAAGCGUGGGGAGCAAACAGG